rnacentral:rRNA from 1 species
GACAGAGGGUGCAAACGUUGUUCGGAAUUACUGGGCGUGAAGCGCGUGUAGGCGGCUGCGCAAGUCGGAUGUGAAAUCCCAUGGCUCAACCAUGGAAGUGCACCCGAAACUGCGUAGCUAGAGUCUCGGAGAGGAAGGCGGAAUGCUUGGUGUAGAGGUGAAAUUCGUAGAUAUCAAGCGGAACACCGGUGGCGAAGGCGGCCUUCUGGACGAUGACUGACGCUGAGACGCGAAAGCGUGGGGAGCAAACAGG